AUUGAACGCUGGCGGCAGGCCUAACACAUGCAAGUCGAACGGCAGCACAGAAGAGCUUGCUCUUUGGGUGGCGAGUGGCGGACGGGUGAGUAAUGUCUGGGAAACUGCCCGACGGAGGGGGAUAACUACUGGAAACGGUGGCUAAUACCGCAUAACGUCGCGAGACCAAAGUGGGGGACCUUCGGGCCUCACACCAUCGGAUGUGCCCAGAUGGGAUUAGCUAGUAGGUGGGGUAAUGGCUCACCUAGGCGACGAUCCCUAGCUGGUCUGGGAGGAUGACCAGCCACACUGGAACUGAGACACGGUCCAGACUCCUACGGGAGGCAGCAGUGGGGAAUAUUGCACAAUGGGCGCAAGCCUGAUGCAGCCAUGCCGCGUGUAUGAAGAAGGCCUUCGGGUUGUAAAGUACUUUCAGCGGGGAGGAAGGCGGUGAGGUUAAUAACCUCGCCGAUUGACGUUACCCGCAGAAGAAGCACCGGCUAACUCCGUGCCAGCAGCCGCCGUAA
rnacentral:rRNA from 1 species